CUGGUGAUAGCGUGCUUGUGGCGACUCCACAGCAGAAAGCAACCAUGUGCACCAACAUGCCCCACGGUGGUGGUCCCUGGAUAUGACAACCUAACACAGCUAGAGGACAAACUGGACACUUUGCGCAUGCAGAUCAUGGGCAAUUUUUUUCAAAACCGCAACCGGGGCCCAGCGAUGUGUUGUCAGCCCAGG